AGUGAACGCUGGCGGUAGGCCUAACACAUGCAAGUCGAACGGCAGCACAGUAAGAGCUUGCUCUUACGGGUGGCGAGUGGCGGACGGGUGAGGAAUACAUCGGAAUCUACUUUUUCGUGGGGGAUAACGUAGGGAAACUUACGCUAAUACCGCAUACGACCUACGGGUGAAAGCAGGGGAUCUUCGGACCUUGCGCGAUUGAAUGAGCCGAUGUCGGAUUAGCUAGUUGGCGGGGUAAAGGCCCACCAAGGCGACGAUCCGUAGCUGGUCUGAGAGGAUGAGCAGCCACACUGGAACUGAGACACGGUCCAGACUCCUACGGGAGGCAGCAGUGGGGAAUAUUGGGCAAGGGGCGCAAGCCUGAUCCAGCCAUACCGCGUGGGUGAAGAAGGCCUUCGGGUUGUAAAGCCCUUUUGUUGGGAAAGAAAAGCAGCAGGUUAAUACCCCGCUGUUCUGACGGUACCCAAAGAAUAAGCACCGGCUAACUUCGUG
rnacentral:rRNA from 1 species